UAGGGAAUCCUUCCACAAUGGACGCAAGUCUGAUGGAGCAACGCCGCGUGAGUGAAGAAGGUUUUCGGACCGUAAAGCUCUGUUGUUGGUGAAGAAGGAUAGAGGUAGUAACUGGCCUUUAUUUGACGGUAAUCAACCAGAAAGUCACGGCUAACUACGUGCCAGCAGCCGCGGUAAUACGUAGGUGGCAAGCGUUGUCCGGAUUUAUUGGGCGUAAAGCGAGCGCAGGCGGAAGAAUAAGUCUGAUGUGAAAGCCCUCGGCUUAACCGAGGAAUUGCAUCGGAAACUGUUUUCUUGAGUGCAGAAGAGGAGAGUAGAACUCCAUGUGUAGCGGUGGAAUGCGUAGAUAUAUGGAAGAAUACCAGUGGCGAAGGCGGCUCUCUGGUCUGCAACUGACGCUGAGGCUCGAAAGCAUGGGUAGCGAACAGGAUUAGAUACCCUGGUAGUCCAUGCCGUAAACGAUGAGUGCUAAGUGU
rnacentral:rRNA from 1 species